rnacentral:rRNA from 1 species
CCUACGGGAGGCAGCAGUAGGGAAUAUUGCUCAAUGGGGGAAACCCUGAAGCAGCAACGCCGCGUGGAGGAUGAAGGUUUUCGGAUUGUAAACUCCUUUUGUUAGAGAAGAUAAUGACGGUAUCUAACGAAUAAGCACCGGCCAACUCCGUGCCAGCAGCCGCGGUAAUACGGAGGGUGCAAACGUUACUCGGAAUCACUGGGCGUAAAGAGCACGUAGGCGGGUUAGCAAGUCAGAUGUGAAAUCCUAUGGCUUAACCAGAGAACUGCAUUUGAAACUGUUAUUCUAGAGUAUGGGAGAGGUGGGUGGAAUUCUUGGUGUAGGGGUAAAAUGCGUAGAGAUCAAGAGGAAUACUCAUUGCGAAGGCGACCUCCUAGAACAUAACUGACGCUGAGGCGCGAAAGCGUGGGGAGCAAACAGGAUUAGAUACCCGGGUAGUC